UGUGUGUGCCUGUGUGCAUGUGUGUGUGCAUGCAUGUGUGCACACGUGUGCCUGUGUGUGCAUGUGUUGAAUUUCCGGUGAAAACUCUGCAUCCCAGAAUUUAUUGUCCCCAUGAUCUCAGGGCCACUCAGGGGUGUGUAGAAGGCCCUGGCCCCGAGCCCUGGUGGGGGCUCCAUCGUGGCACCAUGGGGUCUCCGGAGCCUGGGGGUCCCUCUCUCCCAAUGCACUCGCUUGGUGGCAAAUGGCUGGGAGCGGCAUUUCUGUCCUGGCCGGGGAGCGCUUGAAUGCGCUGAGCAAUGGGGGAGAUAAGCGUGUGAGGUGUUGUUCCGGGAGCAACCUGGUGAUAGGAGCCGUGUCUCCGCCUGGCUGGAGAACAGGGCCUGAGGACUGGACAAGUGGGCGAUUGUCCCGUCUCAUGCCCAUCGCUGGCCCUGCCCUCUACAUCCAUCUGUGUGGCCUGGCCCUGAACAGCGGUCACUCUGGGCCUGGUGUGGCUGUGAAGUGGGAGCACAGGGUGGGCCCCGGGUCCCAGCUUCCCGGCUGAACUGUGAGGGUGGGCGCUGUCUCCUAGACCCGAGGGGCUCCCUGGACAGGUGUGAGCAGACCUUCGCUCGGGCUUGAGGCCUUCGCCCCUGCAGGUGUCUCCAGGAGGCUUCCCUCACAGGAGGCUGAGGCCCUGGGUCUGCUGGGACUCGUAUUCACGGAGGUGCUGGGAUGGACCUGCUGGUGGCCCCCCGCCCCUCGGCCAGCCCCUUCCCCGCCUCUGCCCUGCUGGGCCCUGUGGUCAGGUGUGACGUCCCCUGGAGGAGAACAGGUGGGGCUUCACCCCCAGAGGCUUGGCAGCCGGUCCCCAUCAGAUCAAAGCACUGAAAGCUGUGGCUUUGGGGAGUGUUCGGGAAAGAUUUCAAGCCCGGGAGUGGGCACGCGCCCAGGCUCGGAUCCCUGCCAUAUCCCGUCCGAGGCGCGGGCCCAGUGCUGGCUGGCAGAGCUCAGCAUGGCCAGCCAGUGCCCAGGUGCAUGCCCGAGGGGGCGCGCCACGGCUUCCUGUUGAUCCGGAUGCCCGAUGUCUUGGGAGGCACUGACCCUGUUGGCACAGGUCCUGGAGCCCACUGCUUGGGGAGGUGGUGGGAACCCCGAGACCCUGGGGACAGAGUGGCUGGAUGCAAAGUCCCCCAAGGGGAAGGGGGAUGGCAGGGAAGGGGCGUCAGGCCUUGGGGGAGGUCACCUGCCCCACCCUCCCUCCAAGGCCCUUGUGUGGCUGGGUGGGGCUGGCCCUGGGUCUUCUCCCUCUCCCCCGUCCCUGAGCGUCACUGGUGACCUCCCCGUGGGCUUGUCCAGUUUGCCAGUACCCUGUGGUUUCCUGCGGUUUUACCUCCUGAGCAUGUUGAAACACUCCUAGUCCAGUUCCUGCCUGUAGCCACCCCCAUCGAAUCUGGCCUGCUGUGGCCCCCACCCUGCAGCCACGCGUGUGUGGUGCCCACUCAUUGUCUCCAGCACCUCAGAGGAGGCCCUGCCUGGCUCCAACACUCCCUGACCUCUGGCCUCUAUUCCCCUCCUUGGCCAACUCUGCUACUCCACCAGCCUUGCAGACCCCCCACCUCAGCUGCUGGAGUCCACCCUGCUGGAGGUAGAAACAGAGCCAGCUGCGUGCCACAGGUGAGGGCCUUCCCCAGGGCCUGGGGAGGGGCAGCAUGACCCCGGGAGGGCAGCUGCAAGGGCCGGGCAGUGCAGCUCACCCGGGCGACCACCAGCCCACCCUCCUCAGUGAGACCCCACAGCCCCUGUCCAGUGAUGUUCGAGGGCCAGGGCUCCCCGGGCAUCCACCUGUCUGCACUUUCAGACUUGACUGCUUGGUGCCUGGGCUGGGAUCUGGGGGCACUGCCCCUCCCCGUAUCCCUGGGACCCCCUUCAGGAGCCGGACACUCGGGUGCACACAGCUCCCACCCCCAGCCCAGCCCCAGCCCUGUGCUGUCCGCUGCCCACAGUCCACUGUGUGGCUUCGAGUGGACCAAAGGUCUUGUCUGGCUGCAGGAGGGGCCCUGGUAGUUGCUGGGCCUGGAGGUCGCUAGGAUGCUGGGCCUGGAGGUGGCUGGGAUGCUGGCCUGGCCCCCACGUCCAGGGCGGGUUGAGGAGUGGCCAGCAGGAGCCACUGCCUGAGGCUGGGCUCAGCCCAGGCCAGUAGACUCACGUUCCAGAAAGGGCUGGGGAACUUGCCACCUGCCCUCCUCCAGAGACGGGCCCUUGUCCUUUUUGUCUACUUAUGCCUCGUGCAGGAAGCAGGUCAGGGUGGGCCGGGGCCCUCAGGAGCAGACGCGUUUCAGCUGGGGGCGGGGGCAGGAUACGGGCUGCUGGGGCCAUUGAGGCAGCACCACAGGAGGGGUCCUGGCCAGGCCACCCCUCCCUCCAGGUGGGAGCUUAGCUGGGGCGGGACCCCCACCUCCCUGGGUGAGCACUGCCGGCCGGUAGCCUUGGGCAGGCACCCAGGAGAGGCCCCUGGCCUGAGCUCCUCUCACACCUGACUUGCGUACCUCUAAGCCCCGGGGUAGGUCCACCUGGCACCCCAAAUGCCUUCUCCCCUUUUCCCAUCCCAUGGGAGGUGGCUGUGUGCCACAGGUGAGGGUACAGAGCCCCCAGCUGCUCCCUGGGAGGAGCAGGGCCUGUCAGACCCGCCCCGAGAGUUUCACCCCCUGCCGUGGGGCCCUGAGCAGGCCCUCGCGGGACAGGGCCUUCCGUGCCGGGGUGACUGUGCCCCACCAGCCCCGAGGGGAAGACCAGGAUCCUGAGGGCUGGGCUGCACCUCCGACGUCCUGGGGCAGAUGUCCAUGCAUUGCCAACUCCAGGCCUGAACCCAAGGCACCCUCAUCUGAGCACCCACAGGGAGAGGCUGCCAGGACGGCUGGGUGUCCAGCCGACUGCCCCGCCCGGGCUCUGGAGCUGAUAACCAGCGGAUGAGGAGUGAAAUGCAAACAGAUAAGAAAAGCUCCAGGUGUUGCAGCCAGACCCGAGUCUCUCUCAGGAAUCACGUCCAGGGCCCUUCCCAGGCAGUGGGACAUGCAGUGGGGGCAGCUACUGAGGCCCAGGCCUCCAGUGGGUGCCCACGUGCAGCCCCCGCCAUGGGGUCACCCUGGGGUAAGGAUCUCUCCUCCCCUGCUCACCUUCUGCUGGGGCUUGGCAUCCCUGGGAUGAAGGUGGCACCCUUGUGGCCUGGGCCUUGCCGGCCCACAUCAGCCCCCAGCCCUCUGCUCCUUGGCCUCACCCGCAGUCUGCAGAAGGUAGGUGAGUUUCCUGGUGAUAAUAUAAUAAUAGCAAUGAUGAUCAUGAUGAUUAUGGCAAUAACAAUUAUGACAGUCAACACUGCCACGUGCCGGGCUCUGGCCCUUUGCAUGUCUGGGCCAGCUGUGCAAGGUACUGCUGGGGCUCCCAGGCUGGGAGUCAGGGACAGGCACUGCCACAGCACCCAAGGGGCCCCCGUGCCACCCCAGCGCCUGCUGACCCUGAACCAGCUGCUCCGUGAGAGCUUUUUGCCGACUCUUCCGCUUGGCAGCAUUUUAAUCUGAUGCAAGAGCCUUGUCGCUUCCUCAAAGCCUGUGUCUAUGGCCGUGGGCAGCUGCCCGUCCCCGUGUAGGCAGAGCGGCGUCAUGCCCUGUGGCCGCAGGUCCGGCUCUGGGGUUCUGGCUGGAUGGGGCCUGGAACCUUCUGGGAGUCACCACUGACUGGCUGCAGCCACCGGCUCCCCAGCAAGGACGUCCCUUCUGCAGGAAAAUGGGGACGUCUGGAGCAUUCUCUGGACAGCAGGAGAUGCACGUCAGCAGGCUGGCCCCGCCUCUUCCCUACCUGGAGUGACGCAGCGAUGCCCUAGACACCCGGGGAGAGGUGACCCCCAGCAGGAAGCUGGGCCUGGUUUCUGUCCCUCCACAGCCACAAGGCCUGGCCAGGACGCCGGGAGCACCACACCCUGGAGACUCAGCUCACCGAGGACUCGGGCGGGGGCUUCCCCGGCGCCUGGGAAGCUGGGUUCCCCACCCCCUGGACUUCCACCCCGACAUCAUCUCAAGCCAGGUCUGCCUGCAUCUCCUCAUCACUGCCCUGGGUCCUCCGUCGCAGCUGCUGUGUCCCAGGCCCCACAGCCGCUGCCCUUGGCCCACCUUCUAUGUGGCCCAUUAGAGGGGUGUGGGGGCUGCAACCUGCUUCUGCUGAACCCCCGGGCCUGCCAGGGGGCAUCAGGAUUCUGCACAGAGAGGCAGGGGUCCUGGCCAGACGUGCAGGUCCCCAGGUACCUAAUUCAGGGCCUUGGGCCGAGGACUGCGUAUUAUCCUGGCCCAGGCGACUCUGGGGGUGUCUGAGGGGUGGUGAGACUUCUAGGCAGAUUGUCCCUGCCCCACUCUGCUCUGCCCCACCCUGGCUGGCCCUCCUGGCUUCUCAAGGUGCUCCUGGCCACGAUGGCACAGUCCCCCAGGCCCAAAAUGUGCCCCUAUGCUGCCUGAGUGCCGGUGCGGGGGCUGGUAGCACCCAAGGCCACGCCCUCCCCUCCCCGUCCUGGGACACCUGCACCCACGUUGUGGCCACAGCUCCCUGGCUCCACCAGCUUCUCGUGACCCCUGAGGCUCCCCAGCCCCUGGCCCGCCAUGGAGGGUUCCCUCCCCACCCCUGUGCCCACUCCUUGGGAGACUGGCAUUAGAUCUUGGCUGUGGGACAGGGUGGGCCAUUCUGGGGGUGAGACCAGGCCUCUCCCACCUGGGACCCAUCGUGGCUCUGGCCCUGGGCGGGUGACAGCCUGGCUUUCCUGUGUCCUCACCGCCUGCUCUUCAGCAAGAGAGGGAUGUGGAUGACAGGACUGCUGGCCACAGAGGGCCUGGUGUGGGCAGCCGUCAGGACGAGGGUAGUGUGGGCGGCCACAGCAGUUGGUGCUACUGCUGGAAGGGGCCGAAGGUGAGGCCCUUCUGGGCUGUGAGUCCCUGCAAGCCACUGCCCCCAUGGGGUUGCAGUCACGGAGCUGACCCGCUGCCGGGUUUCUGCCCCCUCCCUGUCCCUGCUGCUCCCCCGGCAACUGUAUCCCAAGCCUGAUGCCCUGUCGGAGGUGGCACCUCCCUGGGCACGGGCACUUGGACGCUGGUGCCUCCCCUGCUGCAGACCCCUUUGCUGUGGUCAGGGCCUCCUCCCUGCCCUGGCACCUGUGACCACAGGCCUGGUGGGGCCCUUGAUGGCCACAGAGGGCACAGGCUGGGGCCAGGAGGGCACCGUCUCCUGGGGCACAGAGAUGCUGGAGUGAGUCAUGGAAUCGUCCAUCAGCAGCAGCAAGCUUUGCUGAGCACCAGCUGUAUGCAGAGCACCAGCUGUAUGCAGAGCACCGGCUGUAUGCAGAGCAAAGUUCCCACAGCUGUCUGGGGGCCUCCCCUGGUGCCUGGUUGAGCUGCAGGGGGAGAUAUGUGUGGACACUGCAACCCUCCCGAAGCUGGGCCUGGAAGAAGUGACUUCCCCAGAACCUUAUCUGGGCCACAGAAGGGGGUUGGAAGCGGGGGUCUUGCCGCCCUCCCGUCCUCUGCAUGCCAGGCGUGACCUGGGGCAGGGCCAGGGCAGGCUGCCUGGACACCAUGGACCUGCCCGGCUGUAGGGGAGAUGUGUCCUGCAACCCCACCCAUGGUUCAGGCCUGUGUGGCUGAGUGGACUGAGGACAGCUGACCCCCUUGGUGACUGCCUGGGCCCAGAGGGGAGUGGUCAGCUGGGUGUGGCCAGCCCUGGGGGAAGGAUCCAGGGACUGCAUCCACUUAGGGAUAGGAGGCAGCUAGCAGAGCCCUCCCAGCUGACCAGGGGAGGCCCUGUGGUCAUAGGAGGGGCCUCAGGUGCAGGUGCAGGUGCAGGGCUGGGCGGCCCUGUGUUGCCCAGGUGGUGUGUCUUGCCCUGUUUGAUGACUGACAAAGUGCCCUUGAAUGUGUCAGACCCAGCGUGGCCCCAGGGUGGGUCCUAACCUAACGUUUCACCCCAAAUUACCCUCACCCCAGCCUAUCCCUGCCCUAAAUUCACCCCAAGCCCCCACUCAAACUCCUUGACCCCAACACUUUAACCCUAGACCCAGCCCUACACCCCAAGCCCUAAUCCCUAACCGCUAGCCUCACCCUAACCUCCCUACCGGAUGCCACCUGGUAAACAUCCUCCUGGCCGCUAUCCACCCCUCCCCCGGGGCUCCAGGAGGCAGCGGGGUCCCUGGGAGGCUGCUCCCUGCAGAACACGAUGGACAGACGCCUGGGCACCGGGCCCCAGCCCCCUCUGGCUUCAUUCAUCCUCCACAGGCACUUCCCCCUGGGCCAGAGGGCAGCCUGGCAGCCCUGGACUCCGGGAGGGCCGAGUCUGGGGAGCUGGAGGACGUCAUCUUCCACUCUUGAUGCCGCCGCCCCAGGCCUACAGUCUGGACAGCGGGACAAGCUGCCCAUUUCCUCCAUCUCCAGUAAUGAGAAGCAAAUGCUGAUCCUGGCCCGUCUCCUGGCUCCCGGGUCCCUGGGUUCCCGCUGCCCCUGCCAGUUCCCGGAAGAUGCCAGCAGGAGGGAGGGCGGUGGAGCUGGACUUGUGCCCACAACAGGAUCUGGCCAUAAACGCGGUCAGGGCGAGGCUGCGGGGUGGGCCGCUGAACCUCCUUGUGGACUUUCUUCCCCGCCCUGGCCCGCAGCUGUCAGCCCUUCCUGGGAACUGCAGCCUUUGUUUGUUCCUUGAAGGAGCUGGUGCAUUGCCUGCGAGCUCCUCUGCAGGCCUGGGGGUCCGCCUGCUGUCCACCCCCCGAAACCAGCUCCAUCCAGCAGCAGGCUGCAAGCCUGGAGAGGCCUCCAGGGGCCAGGUAGGGAAACUGAGGCCCCAAAAAGGCAGGGAACAGGUGCAGGGGGCCUGUUUGACCUGCGCUGGGACUGGGCUAGGCGAGUCGCCUCCAGGGCCCAGCCCCAUCUUGGACAGAGGAAGUUGAUAGUCAGGAAAGGCAGGAGUGGCCUCUUCUAACAAUUUCAGCUCUGCAGGGGCCGAGGGUGGCGAUGCUGACAGCAUUUCCUCCAGCUCCCACCUGCCUGCUCCAGGGAAUUCCCCACCCAGGCAUUGAUACUCACCUGGUGAUACUAAUAAUUGUCUCAGGUGACAGACUGUCUCAGCUGCUCUCCCACAUGGCCCACGGGUCCCUGGAGGUUCCCCGGAUUCUUUCAGGGGAGACCAUGGGCCCUAAACGAUCUUCAUAACAAAACUGAGAAGUGGCCUGGCUUCUUCACAGCGCUCCUGUGUGCUCAGAUCCAGCAUGGCCCGACGGGGCAGCCCCUUUCCUUCCCUGAUGCUGCUCUAGGGGGAGGAAGGGCCAGGGUCAAUCUGGGGUGCUCCAGGUGGACAGCAAACGCCCCUGAAACCAGGUGCCAGUUGUGUCCCCCUGAGAUGCCCCCACCCCAGUCUCCUGAGCCUCAUUAGUCACCCCUCAUUUUCCUUUGGGGACCCCAGGCCCUGGCUCCUGUCUGGUUAGAGGCUGAAGGGGUCUGAGCCACACCUGCCCUAGGGGACCUCCGGAGGGGUCUUGGUAUCCUCUGACUUCUGUCUCCAGAAAGGAGCUCAGAAUGCAGCUGGAGCUUCCCCCGGAGCCCAGGGUGUCCGUGUCCGAGCCACAGCCAGAGUGUGCCCUGGAGAGCCGCUGGGACACGGGUGAGCUCUCGUCAUCCUGUCCCCACUCCAGGCUCAGGCUGGAGCCGUGAUGGCACCACUGCACUCCAACCCGGGCAACAGAGUGAGACCCUGUCUCUAUAAAAUAAAAACACAAAUAAAGAAGA